CCCAGCCCGUCUGCCUGUCCCGGAGCCCCUUCUCCCAACCCUCGUACCAGAGUCCAUCCGAGACCCGGUACGGGCUGUGGGGGAUGGGGAGUCGGGGGUAAGCCGCUUGAGCCGGAGGAGGCCCCCCAGGGAGCGGCCGUCUCCCCGGAC
ensembl:miRNA sha-mir-150 sha-mir-150